rnacentral:rRNA from 1 species
AAACUGAAGAGUUUGAUCCUGGCUCAGAUUGAACGCUGGCGGUAUGCUUAACACAUGCAAGUCGAACGGUAACAGAGGAGAGCUUGCUCUCUUGCUGACGAGUGGCGGACGGGUGAGUAACGCGUA